CCUACGGGUGGCAGCAGUGGGGACUAUUGGGCAAUGGGCGCAAGCCUGACCCCGCCAAGUAGCGUGCAGGAUGCCGGCCCUCCGGGUUGUAAACUGCUUUUAGUUGGUCAUAAAAGGGGGCUCGUGAGCCCCGUCUUGUCUGUACCAUCAGCAAAAGGACCGGCUAAUUCCGUGCCAGCAGCCGCGGUAAUACGGAAGGUACGGGCGUUAUCCGGGUUUAUUGGGUUUAAAGGGAGCGUAUGCAGGCUGUUAAGUCAGCUGUGAAAGUCCGCGGCUCAACCGUGGAAGUGCAGUGGAUACUGGAGGCCUUGAGUGCACACAGGGAGUGCGGAAUUCAUGGUGUAGCGGUGAAAUGCUUAGAUAUCAUGAAGAACUCCGAUCGCGAAGGC
rnacentral:rRNA from 1 species